rnacentral:snoRNA from 1 species
AUGAUUGGCAAAAUGUUCAACUGCUCUGAAGAGAGUGAGUGAGAAUGGCCUUUCUGA